UGUGUGUGUGUGUGUGUGUGUGUGUGUGUGUCUUUAACAGCAAGACCAACAUCACCUCCUCCUCCAUCCUCCUCUUCCUCAGCAGUGACCUGGGUAUCUGGUGGUCCUGAUUCCUCUGAUUCUGGUCUGGGUGUUGCUGCGGUGACCGCCCUCCGAUUGGCUCCUCUGGUUGUCUUGGUGAUAAUCGUCAUGACAACACUGCUGUUGCUAAAGAGAAGAAGGCGUUCUGCUGGGUCAAGUGAUGGAGGACAGAACCGCACAGGUAGAACCGCAGAUGAAGAGGAGAACCGCACAGGCCCAAGUCCUGGGCCAGGGGCAGUCUUCUACUCUGCAGCAAACUCAUCAGCAGUGUGUGUGCAGACAGGCGACAGUGACUAUGACGACGUCGGAUCAGAUGAAAUGUAGAAGUUACACAUCACAGCCAGACACAACACAACUACUCUCUUUUCUGUGUGUG